rnacentral:rRNA from 1 species
UACGUAGGGUGCAAGCGUUAAUCGGAAUUACUGGGCGUAAAGCGUGCGCAGGCGGUUUUGUAAGGCCGAUGUGAAAUCCCCGGGCUCAACCUGGGAAUGGCAUUUGGGACUGCAAGGCUGGAGUGCGGCAGAGGAGACUGGAAUUCCUGGUGUAGCAGUGAAAUGCGUAGAUAUCAGGGGGAAUACCGAUGGCGAAGGCAGGUCUCUGGGCUGACACUGACGCUCAUGCACGAAAGCGUGGGGAGCAAACAGG